UGUUUUUUCUUCAAUCAUUAAAUAAUGCAGCUUUGAAAAUUAAAAAACCUGUUCAGAUUGCUAACUAGAAAAAGCCUCUCGCUCUUUCUAGGGUAUAUUUUACCAAGGUGAUGGGUAAUAUUCAACACCUUGUAUUUUGUACAAAUCUGGUUUGUAAAUUGUGACAGCUAAGCUGUCGUGAUGUUGAAGUGUCAUUAGAUAAACUGAGCACCUAUGUAGAAAAUCAUUGGAAUUACCACAAAUCCACUCCAUAUCUAUCAAAAGUAAUUUUACUCUGAGUCCAGCGAGGACAUACACUUAUAAUUCCUCAGUGUUACACUCCAUGAUUUCUGAGCACACAUACAUGUGAUUACAAUAUUCUUAGAUCUUCUCUCCCCAGUAAUAAAAUAAUUAUUAUUCUUUAUAACAGCUUUAGAAAAAAAACCCAGCUUAGAUUACCAACAUUUAUUCACAAUAACAGUAAUAAAUAUGUUGAUCAAAUACAUUGAAAGAACAUUUCAAAAAUCAAACCAUGAAUCUUUUGUUUGUUAUAAUACAAGAAACUGAAACAAUGUGUGGCCAACAACCAUAGUACCUUUUUAAUAUGUAUCUCUACAAGCCAAUGAAAUGAUCAGUUUUUUGAGGUUAGAAAGGCACUUUUCAAUUUUUGGAUGAAAAGAAAGCUUACACAAUAUGUUUUCAAAUAUCUUUAAAAAAAAUAGAAAGGAGUGUUGAUCAUGUUAGAUUAAAAGAGAAAUAAAAUUAAGUGUUGGCGUUAUGAAACUCUUUCACCAAUGAUUUUAACUACGUAAUAUAACCACAAUUACUGAUUACGUAUUCACUAUCUUCCAAAAAUCAUAUAACUAUUUAAUUUAGGUGUGUGGAAUAUCUAUUAUGUCCAACACUGAAUGUCUUUUAACUUCCACAAUAACACCUUCGUAAAUACAUAGCUACGUUCUUAAUAAAAUAUGAUAUUAAUACUAUA
rnacentral:lncRNA from 1 species